rnacentral:lncRNA from 1 species
GAGCUGUUUUUUCCCUCCACUUACGGUUUUCUAAUUAUGCUAUCCAAUCCAAAAUUUGUUUAGGGACCUAAAGUAAUCGUUUGUAGAGUCUUCCUUUUUUGUUUACUUGAUUGAAAUCAUUUUUAUACAGAUGAAAGAUAUAUGCAGUUCGUUGUUCGUCAGUUGGCAGCACCAGCUCAUUUUGCUAUUCUUCUUAGGUAAAUCCAC